rnacentral:rRNA from 1 species
UACGUAGGGUGCAAGCGUUGUCCGGAAUUAUUGGGCGUAAAGAGCUCGUAGGCGGUUUGUCGCGUCGGCUGUGAAAACUCGGGGGCUCAACCCCCGAGCCUGCAGUCGAUACGGGCAGACUAGAGUGCUGUAGGGGAGACUGGAAUUCCUGGUGUAGCGGUGAAAUGCGCAGAUAUCAGGAGGAACACCGAUGGCGAAGGCAGGUCUCUGGGCCACUACUGACGCUGAGAAGCGAAAGCAUGGGGAGCGAACAGG